AUUGAACGCUGGCGGCAGGCCUAACACAUGCAAGUCGAACGAGUGGCGGACGGGUGAGGAAUAUAUCGGACUCUACUCUGUCGUGGGGGAUCACGUAGGGAAACUUACGCUAAUACCGCAUUCGAUGGAAUGUGCCGGUGUCGGAUUAGCUAGUUGGAGGGGUAAAGGCCCACCAAGGCGACGAUCCGUAGCUGGUCUGAGAGGAUGAACAGCCACACUGGAACUGAGACACGGUCCAGACUCCUACGGGAGGCAGCAGUGGGGAAUAUUGGACAAUGGGCGCAAGCCUGAUCCAGCCAUACCGCGUGGGUGAAGAAGGCCUUCGGGUUGUAAAGCACUUUUGUUGGGAAAGCGGUACCCGAAGAAUAAGCACCGGCUAACUUCGUGCCAGCAGCCGCGGUAAUAC
rnacentral:rRNA from 1 species